rnacentral:rRNA from 1 species
UGGGGAAUAUUGCACAAUGGGCGCAAGCCUGAUGCAGCGACGCCGCGUGAGGGAUGACGGCCUUCGGGUUGUAAACCUCUUUCAAUAGGGACGAAGCGCAAGUGACGGUACCUAUAGAAGAAGGACCGGCCAACUACGUGCCAGCAGCCGCGGUAAUACGUAGGGUCCGAGCGUUGUCCGGAAUUACUGGGCGUAAAGAGCUCGUAGGUGGUUUGUCGCGUUGUUCGUGAAAACUCACAGCUUAACUGUGGGCGUGCAGUGGGUACGGGCAAACUAGAGUGCGGUAGGGGAGAUUGGAAUUCCUGGUGUAGCGGUGGAAUGCGCAGAUAUCAGGAGGAACACCGAUGGCGAAGGCAGAUCUCUGGGCCGUAACUGACGCUGAGGAGCGAAAGCAUGGGGAGCAAACA